rnacentral:lncRNA from 1 species
AAAGUUUUGGAUCUGACAGAGCAGUUAGAGGAGAGGAUCUAUCAGCUUUAUAAUGAUAACAUCAAGAUCAUCUAGGAAAAGCUCCAGGGGUUCACUCAGAAAGUGGCAAAGAUCAGCCAUUUGGAAACAGAGCUUAACCAAGAUGGCCACAGAAGGAGACUGUGUACAAAGACCUGUGCAUCCGGUCUGAGCAGAGCCUAAGACUCAGACAUGGGCUAGACCACCAUGUCCCAGUGACUCACAGCAUUCAGAUGUGUUCAUUUCUCCUGUGGCUGAAACUACUUCUCAGGUGGUUACCAGUAAAUGCCGUCCCUACCACGUUCCCAUGACUCAGAGCACCCAGACGUGUUCAUUUCUCCUGUGACUGAAACUACUUCUCAGGUGGUUACCAGUCA